AUUGAACGCUGGCGGAAUGCUUUACACAUGCAAGUCGAACGGCAGCACGGACUUCGGUCUGGUGGCGAGUGGCGAACGGGUGAGUACUGUAACGGAACGUGCCCAGUCGCGGGGGAUAACGCAGUGAAAAGUACGCUCAUCCCGCAUACGCCCUAUGGAUGAAAGCGGGGUAUCGCAAACUCUCGCGUGUUUGGAGCGGCCGAUAUCAGAUUAGGUAGUUGGCGGGGUAAAGGCCCACCAAGCCAACGAUCUGUAGCUGGUAUGAGAGGACGACCAGCCACACUGAAACUGAGACAGGGUCCAGACUCCUACGGGAGGCAGCAGUGGGGAAUUUUGGACAAUGGGCGAAAGCCUGAUCCAGCCAUUCCGCGUGCAGGAUGAAGGCCCUCGGGUUGUAAACUGCUUUUGUACAGAACGAAAAGGUUUCUACUAAUACUAGGAGCUCAUGACGGUACUGUAAGAAUAAGCACCGGCUAACUACGUGCCAGCAGCCGCGGUAA
rnacentral:rRNA from 1 species